AGAGUUUGAUCCUGGCUCAGGAUGAACGCUGGCGGCGUGCCUAAUACAUGCAAGUCGAGCGAGAUGUUAGCGCAUGAACCUUCGGGGGAUUAUGCUAACGGACAGCGGCGGACGGGUGAGUAACGCGUAGGCAACCUGCCCCUGACAGAGGGAUAGCCAUUGGAAACGAUGAUUAAAACCUCAUGACACCGUAGAAGCACAUGCUUCAUCGGUCAAAGAUUUAUCGGUCAGGGAUGGGCCUGCGUCUGAUUAACUAGUUGGUGAGGUAACGGCUCACCAAGGUGACGAUCAGUAGCCGACCUGAGAGGGUGAUCGGCCACAUUGGAACUGAGACACGGUCCAAACUUCUACGGAAGGCAGCAGUAGGGAAUCUUGCACAAUGGGCGAAAGCCUGAUGCAGCAACGCCGCGUGAAGGAUGAAGGCCUUCGGGUUGUAAACUUCUGUUCUAAGGGAAGAAACAAAUGACGGUACCUUAGGAGCAAGCCCCGGCUAACUACGUGCCAGCAGCCGCGGUAAUACGUAGGGGGCAAGCGUUAUCCGGAAUUAUUGGGCGUAAAGAGUGCGUAGGUGGUUACCUAAGCGCAAGGUUUAAUUUAGAGGCUCAACCUCUACUUGCCUUGCGAACUGGGCUACUUGAGUGCAGGAGGGGAAAGCGGAAUUCCUAGUGUAGCGGUGAAAUGCGUAGAUAUUAGGAGGAACACCAGCGGCGAAGGCGGCUUUCUGGACUGUAACUGACACUGAGGCACGAAAGCGUGGGUAGCAAACAGGAUUAGAUACCCUGGUAGUCCACGCCGUAAACGAUGAGCACUAGGUGUUGGGCCCGUUAGGGCUCAGUGCCGCAGUUAACGCAAUAAGUGCUCCGCCUGGGGAGUACGCUCGCAAGAGUAAAACUCAAAGGAAUUGACGGGGACCCGCACAAGCAGCGGAGCAUGUGGUUUAAUUCGAAGCAACGCGAAGAACCUUACCAGGGCUUGACAUCCUGCUGACAGGACCUUAACCGGUUCCUUCUUCGGACAGCAGAGACAGGUGGUGCAUGGUUGUCGUCAGCUCGUGUCGUGAGAUGUUGGGUUAAGU
rnacentral:rRNA from 1 species